AGUGAACGCUGGCGGCAGGCCUAACACAUGCAAGUCGAACGGCAGCACAGCAGUAGCAAUACUGUGGGUGGCGAGUGGCGGACGGGUGAGGAAUACAUGGGAAUCUACCCUGUCGUGGGGGAUAACGUAGGGAAACUUACGCUAAUACCGCAUACGACCGAGAGGUGAAAGCGGCGGACCGCAAGGCGUCGCGCGACUGGAUGAGCCCAUGUCGGAUAGCUAGUUGGCGGGGUAAAGGCCCACCAAGGCGACGAUCCGUAGCUGGUCUGAGAGGAUGAUCAGCCACACUGGAACUGAGACACGGUCCAGACUCCUACGGGAGGCAGCAGUGGGGAAUAUUGGACAAUGGGCGCAAGCCUGAUCCAGCCAUGCCGCGUGUGUGAAGAAGGCCUU
rnacentral:rRNA from 1 species